rnacentral:rRNA from 1 species
GACGAACGCUGGCGGCGUGCUUAACACAUGCAAGUCGAGCGGAAAGGCCCUUUCGGGGGUACUCGAGCGGCGAACGGGUGAGUAACACGUGAGUAAUCUGCCCUUGGCUUUGGGAUAACCACCGGAAACGGUGGCUAAUACCGGAUAUGACGCGCUACGGCAUCGGGGUGUGUGGAAAGUUUUUUCGGCCAGGGAUGUGCUCGCGGCCUAUCAGCUUGUUGGUGGGGUAAUGGCCUACCAAGGCUUCGACGGGUAGCCGGCCUGAGAGGGUGGCCGGCCACACUGGGACUGAGACACGGCCCAGACUCCUACGGGUGGCAGCAGUGGGGAAUAUUGGACAAUGGGCGGAAGCCUGAUCCAGCAACGCCGCGUGAGGGAUGACGGCCUUCGGGUUGUAAACCUCUUUCAGUACCGACGAAGCGCCGAUGAUGGUGGUGACGGUAGGUACAGAAGAAGCACCGGCCAACUACGUGCCAGCAGCCGCCGUAA